rnacentral:rRNA from 1 species
GACGAACGCUGGCGGCGUGCUUAACACAUGCAAGUCGAACGGAAAGGCCCUGCUUUUGUGGGGUGCUCGAGUGGCGAACGGGUGAGUAACACGUGAGUAACCUGCCCUUGACUUUGGGAUAACUUCAGGAAACUGGGGCUAAUACCGGAUAGGAGCUCCUGCUGCAUGGUGGGGGUUGGAAAGUUUCGGCGGUUGGGGAUGGACUCGCGGCUUAUCAGCUUGUUGGUGGGGUAGUGGCUUACCAAGGCUUUGACGGGUAGCCGGCCUGAGAGGGUGACCGGCAACAUGGGGACUGAGAUACGGCCCAGAAUACAACGGGAGGCAGCAGGGGGGAAUAUUGCAGAAUGGGCGGAAGCCUGAUGCAGCAACGCCGCGUGCGGGAUGACGGCCUUCGGGUUGUAAACCGCUUUCGCCUGUGACGAAGCGUGAGUGACGGUAAUGGGUAAAGAAGCACCGGCUAACUACGUG